rnacentral:rRNA from 1 species
AUUGAACGCUGGCGGCAGGCUUAACACAUGCAAGUCGAGCGGGGGAAGGUAGCUUGCUACCGGACCUAGCGGCGGACGGGUGAGUAAUGCUUAGGAAUCUGCCUAUUAGUGGGGGACAACAUCUCGAAAGGGAUGCUAAUACCGCAUACGUCCUGCGGGAGAAAGCAGGGGAUCUUCGGACCUUGCGCUAAUAGAUGAGCCUAAGUCGGAUUAGCUAGUUGGUGGGGUAAAGGCCUACCAAGGCGACGAUCUGUAGCGGGUCUGAGAGGAUGAUGCGGCACCAUGGGACUGAGCCACGGCCCAGGCUCCUACGGGAGGCAGCAGUGGGGAAUACUGGACAAUAGGGUGAACCCUGAUCCAGCCAUGCCGCGUGUGUGAAGAAGGCCUUAUGGUUGUAAAGCACUUUAAGCGAGGAGGAGGCUCUGUUGGUUAAUACCCGAGAUGAGUGGACGUUACUCGCAGAAUAAGCACCGGCUAACUCUGUGCCAGCCGCCGCCGUAA